rnacentral:sRNA from 1 species
UAGAAGUUCCACAACUCAAUUUAUCUGAGC